GACGAACGCUGGCGGCGUGCCUAAUACAUGCAAGUAGAACGCACAGUUUAUACCGUAGCUUGCUACACCAUAAACUGUGAGUUGCGAACGGGUGAGUAACGCGUAGGUAACCUGCCUGGUAGCGGGGGAUAACUAUUGGAAACGAUAGCUAAUACCGCAUAAUAUUGAUUAUUGCAUGAUAAUUGAUUGAAAGAUGCUAUUGCAUCACUACCAGAUGGACCUGCGUUGUAUUAGCUAGUAGGUGAGGUAACGGCUCACCUAGGCGACGAUACAUAGCCGGCCUGAGAGGGUGAUCGGCCACACUGGGACUGAGACACGGCCCAGACUCCUACGGGAGGCAGCAGUAGGGAAUCUUCGGCAAUGGACGAAAGUCUGACCGAGCAACGCCGCGUGAGUGAAGAAGGUUUUCGGAUCGUAAAGCUCUGUUGUAAGAGAAGAACGGGUGUGAGAGUGGAAAGUUCACACUGUGACGGUAUCUUACCAGAAAGGGACGGCUAACUACGUG
rnacentral:rRNA from 1 species